ensembl:snoRNA U3 Small nucleolar RNA U3
AAGGCUAUACUUUCAGGGAUCAUUUCUAUAGUUGGUUACUAGAAAAGUUUCUUUGAUCAUGUAGAGUACCAUAAAUUGUAAACAACCCAAU